CAACUGUUAAAGUGAGAUUGGAGAUAACAAACCCACAAUCUGAAGAAAGUGCAACCAUAUCGUUGGGAUGCUGAGGCCAACAACACUUUUUGGACUGUACGCCACCAACUGAAAAAGGACUGUGUCAGUCUAGCAAGAUGACUCACCACUACAAGUUCAACUGUUGAAGUGAGUUGUGGCAGUCUCCGAUUAAGUGCAGGUGACUAUACAAUGGGGCCUGUUUAAUUGGGGACGCAUCACAGUCAACGACAGGCAACUUGAUUUAGACUACGACCUUCAAAAUGACAUACACUCAUCGUCGGUAAAAGGUUCCAUCCACCUGAAGAAGUACUGGUGUCAAGUCUAUUUAGAUGACUUCCAGCUACAUGUUUAACUUUUGAAGUGACACCGGAACCUUGAGUGAUGUAAGAAAUAAUACUUUUUGGACUAAGGUACCACAAGUCUCAACUGUUCGAGUGAUAAGAUGGUGUUGAUGCUACAUCUCAACAUUACUUACGCUUUUGGACCAAUCACCAACCGAAGAAAGACCGAGUCAAGUCUAGCCAGAAGACUAUUUCUGAUUUAAGUUCAACUGUUUAAGUGAAGAAGUUGUGUUGAUGCUACAAUUGUAAUUAACGCGUUGUGGACUGCCACUAACUUGAGAAAGACUGAAUCAAGUCUAGCCAGGCUACAGGUUAAACUUACUGUUCAAGUGAUGAAAUUAGGCCAAUGCUAAAAUGGAAAACUGACGCUUUUUGGACUGUCACAAACACCAAUAUUGAAGAUAGACUGUGUCAAGUCUAGCCAGAUGAUACCCUCAUUGAUGUUCAACUUUAACGAGGUGGACAAUGACAACGCCUUACUGUAGGAAGACACUCCCUCAGAGGGAACCAUCUUGGGCUAAGUCAGACUAUCGUCUGUGGCUAUGGCUAUGACUGAUGCUAUAAUAAUGUGCCUCUUUAAUCAAUAACACAUGACCAUCAAGCCAUGUCCCCAGCCACCAAUCAGAAACACCCUCAGUGUAAUGUGUAAUCAGAAGACUCUUUGUGAAUUCCAUUAUCAUGUUGUACAAUGUAUAGCUUGGUAUCACAUCAGUUGUUUUGACCAAAUUGGCCAGGUGGCCUCAUGGCAAGCAUUGUUGGUUAACCAUGGAAAAAACAAUCCAUUAUAACUUUAGGGAGAGUGCAAUACCCUUUGGAUUUUGAUGGAGUCAAAGCAGUUAGGAAUACAAAUUUGAAGACAGUGGCGUGAUAUUGGUAAUUACU